rnacentral:rRNA from 1 species
CCUACGGGAGGCAGCAGUGGGGAAUAUUGCGCAAUGGGCGAAAGCCUGACGCAGCGACGCCGCGUGAGGGAUGAAGGUCUUCGGAUCGUAAACCUCUGUCAUGUGGGAGCAAAUUAAAAAGAUAGUACCACAAGAGGAAGAGACGGCUAACUCUGUGCCAGCAGCCGCGGUAAUACAGAGGUCUCAAGCGUUGUUCGGAAUCACUGGGCGUAAAGCGUGCGUAGGCUGUUUCGUAAGUCGUGUGUGAAAUCCCCGCGCUCAACGUGGGAACUGCCUUUGAAACUGGCAAACUGGAGUGUGUGAGAGGAUAGUGGAAUUCCAGGUGUAGGAGUGAAAUCCGUAGAUAUCUGGAGGAACAUCAGUGGCGAAGGCGACUAUCUGGCACAUAACUGACGCUGAGGAGCGAAAGCGUGGGUAGCAAACAGGAUUAGAUACCCUUGUAGUC